ensembl:lncRNA MYHAS myosin heavy chain gene cluster antisense RNA
AUCCAUAAUGGAUUCCUGGGACAUUUUCAGAUCUCCUUCCAGCUUCCUCUUCGCCCUUUCCAAGUCCGCCCGCAGUUUCUUCUCCUGCUCUAAGGAACCCUCAAGCUGAGAAGACACACAGAGACAAGGGCUUGCUCUGUUGCCCAAGCUAAAGUGCAGUGGUGUGAGUGUAGCCCACUGCAUCCUCACACUCCUGUGCUCAAGUGAUCCUCCCACCUCAGCCUCCCAAGUAGCUGGAACUACAAGAUGGAGUCUCGCUGCGAUGCCCAGGCUGGAGUGCAAUGGUGCAAUCUUGGCUCACUGCAACCUUCGUUUCCCAGGUUUAAGCAAUUCUCCUGCCUCAGCCUCCCAAGUAUCUGGGACUACAGGCGAGCGUCACCAUGCCUGGCUAAUUUUUGUAUUUUUAGUAGAGAUGUUUAGUAGAGAGUUUCACCAUAUUGGCCAGGCUGGUCUUGAACUCCUGACCUCAAGGGAUCCGCCCACCUUGGCCUCUCAAAGUGCUGGGAUUACAGGCGUGAGCCACCGUGCCUGGCAAUGUUUGUAGUUUCUUUCAUGAAUUUACCUCCUUUUAUUCUUUAAUCCCUGCUUAUCUCUAAAGAGUAAGUAACUGAAAGUAAUAAAACGGAAUUUUCUCAACAAUA